rnacentral:lncRNA from 1 species
AUGACCAAUCGGGAGCCCCUGAGAGACUCAGCACUUUCUGCUCCGCCCUUCGGUUACGUGUCCGGUUCUCGCGUUCUGAGAGGCUCUAGCUCGCGGCAGCAGCUGGUUUCCGUGGCAACAAUAAAGCGCGGGAAUUACGGAUUAGUUGAAACUGCGACUGCGCGGUGUGAGCUCGCUGGACCGAGGACUGUCCCGGGGCUUUUUCACAGAAGUGGGCCUCUGGGUCCAGGAAGCCCGGAUCUCUUGUUCUGGGUAAAAGUGAUUUAUGUAGUUCAUUGGAACAGGAAGAAAUGGAUUUAUCUGUGGAUCAUGUUGAGGAAGUACAAAAUGUCCUUAAUGCUAUGCAGAAAAUCUUAGAGUGUCCAAUAUGUCUGGAGUUGAUCAGAGAGCCUGUCUCUACAAAGUGUGACCACAUAUUUUGCAA